AUUGAACGCUGGCGGCAGGCCUAACACAUGCAAGUCGAGCGGAUGAAGGGAGCUUGCUCCUGGAUUCAGCGGCGGACGGGUGAGUAAUGCCUAGGAAUCUGCCUGGUAGUGGGGGAUAACGUCCGGAAACGGGCGCUAAUACCGCAUACGUCCUGAGGGAGAAAGUGGGGGAUCUUCGGACCUCACGCUAUCAGAUGAGCCUAGGUCGGAUUAGCUAGUUGGUGGGGUAAAGGCCUACCAAGGCGACGAUCCGUAACUGGUCUGAGAGGAUGAUCAGUCACACUGGAACUGAGACACGGUCCAGACUCCUACGGGAGGCAGCAGUGGGGAAUAUUGGACAAUGGGCGAAAGCCUGAUCCAGCCAUGCCGCGUGUGUGAAGAAGGUCUUCGGAUUGUAAGGCACUUUAAGUUGGGAGGAAGGGCAGUAAGUUAAGACCUUGCUGUUUUGACGUUACCAACAGAAUAAGCACCGGCUAACUUCGU
rnacentral:rRNA from 1 species